UUAAACAAUACUGGAAUAAGUUUGAUAAGCGAUAAGAAAAGGAGCUGAGAGAGGAAAGAAGAAUGCAGAAUAAGGCUAUUCUUCAACUUUGAAUGCUCAACAAGAAGAAUAUGACGGCGCAGAGCAAUAUAUAGCAGGGGAUGGCCACGAACAUGGACAGCCUGGCUUUCGUCAGGAGAAGCUGUUUGAUGAAAAGCACUUUGACGCCAACAACCCUGUCUUUGAAGGAGCUGAUGUUUCAAAGGGACAACUGCUAGCGAUGCUGAUGGGGUUGUGCCUAAGGCACGGAUUAUCUGGUGUUGCCAUGAAAGACCUUCUCGAUUUGUUUAAUACCGUCAUUCCAGGAUGUGUUCCCUCAAGCAAGUGGUACUUGGACAAAGCUUUCUUCAAUCUGUCCGACAAGGUAGAGUUGCAUUUCUAUUGCACGGACUGUGUAGGAUACAUCGGCAAAGGACCAGACUACCAUUGUGAAACUUGCCUGAAGCAUUGGCACAAGGAGGAACUUCUCAAAUCUGCAAGUUACUUUCUGGUGAUGCCUUUAGCCGAUCAGCUCAAAAACAUCUUGCCACAGUCGGCACUGCGGGGCCACUUUCGACAUGAUGAGAGUGUAGGAGACAUAAACACAGGAAAGCUAUACCAAGAUCAGGGUGAUUUUAUCGACAAUCCGGACAAUGUCACCAUAUCUUUCAAUUGUGACG
ensembl:lncRNA